AAAAAUUUAGUUAAAACUAAUAACACUAACUUGUCAAGUUAGAAUCAUUGCUUAAUACAUUAAUUUUUA
rnacentral:tRNA from 1 species